CAGCCUUAAUAUGUAACACUCCUAUACCAUGAAAGAUGCUUUCACACAUUAGGAUGUUGCACAUAUACAUCUAGAUAUGUUGCACUCCUAGACAGAGAAGAUGGAUUCAUGGCAGAUAGGAAGAGUCAACAUAUACAGCCCAGAUAUGUUCCACUCCUACCCAAUGAAUAUGGUUUCAUGGUAGAUGCACAUUAGGAUGUUUAACAUAUACAGCCUAAAUAUGUUACACUCCUAGACAAUGAAGAUGGUUUCAUGGUAGAUUGAUCACACAUCUGGAUAUGUAGCAUAUACAGACUAGAUAUGUUACCCUCCUAGACAAUGAAGAUGCUUUCAUGGUAUACAGCACACGAAGAUUUGUAUCAUAUAACGCCUAAAUAUGUUACACUCUUCGACAAUGAAAAUGGUUUCAUUGUAGAUAGCACAUUAGGAUAAGUCACAUAUACUGCCUAAAUAUGUAAGACUCCUAUACCAUGAAAGAUGCUUCCAUUGCAGAUAGCACAUUAGGAUUAGUCACAUAUACAGCCUAAAUAUGUAAGACUCCUAUACCAUGAAAGAUGCUUCCAUUGCAGAUAGCACAUUAGGAUAAGUCA